GAAAGACUGAAGAAGGCUGUUCGUAUCGUUCCAUGUGAACAGCAGCAAAGCUGAAUAUGUCGUCCCCUACUUCGACGGAAUGGGUUCCAGCAAGAACGAGCCACAGUGCCAGCUCCGUUGGGCCCCAGUGUCGCAUUUGCUUUCAAGGAUGUUUCAAAGAAUCUCUAUGCCAAACGUGUCACUGCAAAGGGAGUAUUGGCCUGGUACAACCGUUCAUGCCUGGAACAGUGGAUGUCCCAAAGAAGACGCCCUGGCUGUGAUAUAUGCGGCUUUACGUACGAGGUGGAAGAACGGCAGAAGUCUUAUCUGGAUCUUCUGUUGGAUCGCGACGCCCGAGGUCGACCCCUGGGCUACCUUCUGCGUGCCGUGGGUCUCCUAGUUUGUGUCUUCGUGCUCCUUCCCCUCAGUUGCGCUUUUGUCGCCGGGCUCAGAUUUCGAUCUUCUCCGUCUCACUCUACGUUUUCUGUGUGGGCCAUAGCAUGUUCUGGUUCAGACGACCAGUACUUUAUAUGAUAGAGGUCACGCAUUCUUGCAUGGAAUGGCGCCGAAACUCGACCUACAUGAAGCUGGUACUUCCACCACCAGCUGUGGAAGCUCGUACCAGUGCAAGAUCCGCAGAAAGCCCGGGCAUAGAGGGCAAACCCCAUAUAUUCCGGAUGUUCCUCUACGGGAUACUCUUCACGCUCAACAUGACCGUAACGACGCCUCUAGCGUGGCUCUGCGCUUACGACAUGCGGCACGGCGUCCCUGGGGUCGUCCUUUUCCAUGUGUACCUGUUCCUGGUAGUACAAACCCUCCUCUGGACGGUGCUUCCCAUCGCUUGUUUCUGGCGCUUCUGUUAUGUUUACAAAAAGAAGGCAUCGACACUCUCCUCAACUGAAGGUGUCCUCUUAUGAAGAGACAAGAUUUCUUCGUCCCUGCUUGCUUACGUUUAGUGAUAAAUGGAUGA